AACGAACGCUGGCGGCAGGCUUAACACAUGCAAGUCGAGCGCCCCGCAAGGGGAGCGGCAGACGGGUGAGUAACGCGUGGGAAUCUACCCAUCUCUACGGAAUAACGCAUGGAAACGUGUGCUAAUACCGUAUACGUCCUUCGGGAGCAAGAUUUAUCGGAGAUGGAUGAGCCCGCGUUGGAUUAGCUAGUUGGUGGGGUAAAGGCCUACCAAGGCGACGAUCCAUAGCUGGUCUGAGAGGAUGAUCAGCUACACUGGGACUGAGACACGGCCCAGACUCCUACGGGAGGCAGCAGUGGGGAAUAUUGGACAAUGGACGCAAUCCUGAUCCAUCCAUGCCGCGUGAGUGAUGAAGGCCCUAGGGUUGUAAAGCUCUUUCACCGGUGAAGAUAAUGACGGUAACCGGAGAAGAAGCCCCGGCUAAUUUCGUGCCAGCCGCCGCGGUAAUAC
rnacentral:rRNA from 1 species